rnacentral:rRNA from 1 species
GCGCGAAAACUUUGCAAUGCGGGAAACCGUGACAAGGGAACUCUGAGUGCCCGUUAAAUCGGGCUGUCCAUCGGUUUAAAUAACCGGUGAAGAAAGGGCCGGGCAAGACCGGUGCCAGCCGCCGCGGUAAUACCGGCGGCUCGAGUGGUGGCCACUAUUACUGGGCUUAAAGCGUUCGUAGCUGGUUUGUUAAGUCUCUGGGGAAAUCUUCCGGCUUAACCGGAAGGCGUUUCAGGGAUACUGGCAGACUAGGGACCGGGAGAGGUGAGAGGUACUCCAGGGGUAGGAGUGAAAUCCUGUAAUCCUUGGGGGACCACCUGUGGCGAAGGCGUCUCACCAGAACGGCUCCGACAGUGAGGGACGAAAGCUGGGGGAGCAAACCGGAUUAGAAACCCUAGUA